UCACUUCUAACUGCUAACUAGGUUUCUUUCGAAAUGUAAGAAUUGCAACAAUGGGUCUGAGUAAAACCAGCAAAAUAUUAGCUUCUUUCAAUUUUUAAAAAAUGAUCUAAUUAUAUGUUAAACACAAAUAAGAUUGUAUCCCCUGUAUAGGAACCUGGUUACUGAAAGACCUACUGAGCUAGGGAUCUGGAUGAAAGUACAAGUCAUGACUCAUCCUGUAUAAUGUGGAAGUGAUGCUAGUUGACCUCAGGAAAAUUUAGAAACACUUCUCUUGUGUAGUUUGCUCCUGGUAAAAAUGUUCAAAAACUGCACGGCACUUUUCACACGUCAGCUGGCGCAACCUUCUCUCCCCAAAGGUAACAAAAACAACAACGUGACAGGUGUAACUAACCAACACUUCAUAAACUGCAAGAUUUACAAGUUAUGUAAUUCAAAAUAUGCUUUUGCUAAAUCAAGUAAAUAAACUGCC